UGGGGGAUAUUGCACAAUGGGGGAAACCCUGAUGCAGCGACGCCGCGUGAGUGAAGAAGCAAUUCGUUGCGUAAAGCUCUAUCAGCAGGGAAGAAGAAAUGACGGUACCUGAAUAAGAAGCCCCGGCUAACUACGUGCCAGCAGCCGCGGUAAUACGUAGGGGGCAAGCGUUAUCCGGAUUUACUGGGUGUAAAGGGAGCGUAGACGGCAGUGCAAGUCCGAUGUGAAAACCCGGGGCUCAACCCUGGGAGUGCAUUGGAAACUGUACGGCUGGAGUGCAGGAGAGGUAAGCGGAAUUCCUGGUGUAGCGGUGAAAUGCGUAGAUAUUAGGAGGAACACCGGUGGCGAAGGCGGCUUACUGGACCGUAACUGACGUUGAGGCUCGAAAGCGUGGGGAGCAAACAGG
rnacentral:rRNA from 1 species